rnacentral:lncRNA from 13 species
AAGUCCACGCGCAAAACACCACCCCACAGUCCCCUGCCAUGAAUGCUACGACCAAAGCUGGCGGUGCGAGUUC